UGGGGAAUAUUGGACAAUGGGCGAAAGCCUGAUCCAGCCAUGCCGCGUGUGUGAAGAAGGUCUUCGGAUUGUAAAGCACUUUUAGUGAGGAAGAUAAUGACGGUACUCACAGAAGAAGUCCUGGCUAACUCCGUGCCAGCAGCCGCGGUAAUACGGAGAGGGCUAGCGUUAUUCGGAAUUAUUGGGCGUAAAGGGCGCGCAGGCUGGUUAAUAAGUUAAAAGUGAAAUCCCGAGGCUUAACCUUGGAAUUGCUUUUAAAACUAUUAAUCUAGAGAUUGAAAGAGGAUAGAGGAAUUCCUGAUGUAGAGGUAAAAUUCGUAAAUAUUAGGAGGAACACCAGUGGCGAAGGCGUCUAUCUGGUUCAAAUCUGACGCUGAAGCGCGAAGGCGUGGGGAGCAAACA
rnacentral:rRNA from 1 species